UACGUAGGGUGCGAGCGUUGUCCGGAAUUAUUGGGCGUAAAGAGCUCGUAGGCGGCUUGUCACGUCGGUUGUGAAAGCCCGGGGCUUAACCCCGGGUCUGCAGUCGAUACGGGCAGGCUAGAGUUCGGUAGGGGAGAUCGGAAUUCCUGGUGUAGCGGUGAAAUGCGCAGAUAUCAGGAGGAACACCGGUGGCGAAGGCGGAUCUCUGGGCCGAUACUGACGCUGAGGAGCGAAAGCUAGGGUAGCAAACGGG
rnacentral:rRNA from 1 species